AUUGAACGCUGGCGGCAGGCUUAACACAUGCAAGUCGAGCGCGCGGCGGACGGGUGAGUAAUGUCUGGGAAAGUGCCUGAUGGGGGGGGAUAACUACUGGAAACGGUAGCUACUACCGCAUACCAUCAGAAGUGCCCAGAUGGGAUUAGCUAGUAGGUGGGGUAAGGGCUCACCUAGGCGACGAUCCCUAGAUGGUCUGAGAGGAUGACCAGCCACACUGUAACUGAGAAACGGUCCAGACUCCUACGGGAGGCAGCAGUGGGGAAUAUUGCACAAUGGGCGAAAGCCUGAUGCAGCCAUGCCGCGUGUGUGAAGAAGGUCUUCGGGUUGUAAAGCACUUUCAGCGAGGAGGCGUUACUCGCAGAAGAAGCACCGGCUAACUCCGUGCCAGCAGCCGCGGUAAUAC
rnacentral:rRNA from 1 species